GUAUUCUUGAAGGGACACUUCAGGUACCAUAAUCACUAUACAUGCCUUGGUGUGUUUAUGGUGCAAGGCAUCUUGUUGUCCCAGUUUUGUCAAACUAAUUUAAAAUUUGUCCCAAAAUAAGUAUUCCUUGCAACCCUUGUUACCCACCUCGCUUGAGACAAGAUAAUUUGUAUCUGUAGAAAUGCCAGGAUCUGAGGAAAACCAUGUGUAUUAACUGUUAUUUAUUAAACUGACCUUUUGGGAACUGACUAGAGAAUUUUUCCUAUUCAGCUAUUAUCUCCUAUAAUUUGCGAUUCUAUGGUGAAU